CUUGAUCGGUAUGUCAUAAUGACUCUCGGCAACGGAUAUCUCGGCUCUCGCAUCGAUGAAGAACGUAGCGAAAUGCGAUACAUGGUGUGAAUUGCAGGAUCCCGUGAACCAUCGAGUUUUUGAACGCAAGUUGCGCCCGAAGCCGUCAGGCCGA
rnacentral:rRNA from 1 species